rnacentral:rRNA from 1 species
GCCCUUCCUACGGGAGGCAGCAGUGGGGAAUUUUGGACAAUGGGCGCAAGCCUGAUCCAGCAAUGCCGCGUGCAGGAUGAAGGCCUUCGGGUUGUAAACUGCUUUUGUACGGAACGAAAAGCUUUGGGCUAAUACCCUGGAGUCAUGACGGUACCGUAAGAAUAAGCACCGGCUAACUACGUGCCAGCAGCCGCGGUAAUACGUAGGGUGCAAGCGUUAAUCGGAAUUACUGGGCGUAAAGCGUGCGCAGGCGGUUUUGUAAGACAGAGGUGAAAUCCCCGGGCUCAACCUGGGAACUGCCUUUGUGACUGCAAGGCUGGAGUACGGCAGAGGGGGAUGGAAUUCCGCGUGUAGCAGUGAAAUGCGUAGAUAUGCGGAGGAACACCGAUGGCGAAGGCAAUCCCCUGGGCCUGUACUGACGCUCAUGCACGAAAGCGUGGGGAGCAAACAGGAUUAGAUACCCUGGUAGUCCACGCCCUAAACGAUGUCAACUGGUUGUUGGGUCUUAACUGACUCAGUAACGAAGCUAACGCGUGAAGUUGACCGCCUGGGGAGUACGGCCGCGAGGUUGAAACUCAAAGGAAUUGACGGAAGGGC